rnacentral:lncRNA from 1 species
UAUCCAUUUAAAAGUGCAUUGCAUGCUAUACAUAUGGAAAUAUUUAGGAGGAGGUAAACUCAUGUCUGCAACUUUUAAAUACAUAGAAAAAUAAGAUGGAUCAAGGAACAGAGGGUUGGAUAAUCAUGUCGUAAAGCAAGGAUAGUAAAGUAUUAAUUGUAGAAUCGAUAUAGUGGGCAUAUAGAUGUUCACUGUCAAAUUCGGCUUUCAUGUAUGUAUGAAAAUUUUUAUAAUUAGAUAUUACGAGAGAAAAAGGUCAAGUUUCUAUCAUAUAGGAUUCUCACUUAUAUAAAACCCAAGCUCUAGGAAAGAAAUCACUCUUAGACCCACAAAAGUCCUGAUUUAUAGGCAAACUCAGGAACUCUGAAGUUUGGGAAAUUCUCAGUUAACAUGAAUUUGCUGUCUUUCUUUGUUUUUUAAAAUGUAUAUAUUUAUAGGCUGGGCGUGGUGGCUCGUGCCUGUAAUCUCAGAUCUUUGGGAGGCUGAGGCGGGUGGAUCACUUACGGUCAGGAGUUCAAGACCAGCCCGACCAACAUGGUGAAACCGCAUCUCUACUAAAAAUACAAAAAAUUAGCUGAGUGUGGUGGUGUACACCUGUAAUCUCAGCUACUCGGGAGGCUGAGGCAGGAGAAUUACUUGAAUUUGGGAGGUGGAAAUUGCAGUAAGUCGAGGUUGUGCCACUGCACUCCAACCUGGGUGACAGAGCAAGACUCCAUCUCAAAAUAAAUAAAUAAAUAAAAUGUAUAUAUUUAUAAAUUCAUUUGCUAUAAAAAACCCAUGUUAUCUCAAAACGUAAGAAUUACAGUUACAUAUAACUUAAAAAAUGAAACCCCUCCCAGUGUCUCUUUCUUCCCAUUAUUGCUUUUUAUCUCCUUGUAGCCACUAUCUCUCCAGACUUGAAAAGUCUGCAUGAGCCAAUAUAGCAGUUUGCUUUUCAACAGGAUUAUGCUAUACAUGCACUGACAAUUUGUUUUUAUCAUGCGAGAUAGUGGAGACAUCUUUCUAUGGCACUACAUGUGAAUGUACCAUCUUUUUCUUUUCUUUUUUAAGACAGGGUC